UACAGAGGCCUCGAGCGUUAGGCGGAAUCACUGGGCUUAAAGCGUGUGUAGGCGGAUGUCUAAGUGCCUUGGUGAAAUCCCACGGCUUACCCGUGGAACGGCUGGGCAUACUGGAUGUCUUGAGCCUUCUAGGGGCUAGCCGGGAACAAAUGGUGGAGCGGUGAAAUGCGUAGAUAUCAUUGGAACGCCAAUGGUGAAAACAGGUAGCUGGGGAAGUGCUGACGCUGAGACACGAAAGCCAGGGUAGCGAACGGG
rnacentral:rRNA from 1 species